rnacentral:lncRNA from 1 species
CUACAGGCGAGGCAAGAUCGGGACGGCGGGCUUGGGGCUAUGGCGUAGAAGGCACCGAUGGGGUCGGAACGUCGAGGAGGAUGCAUGGAGAGUGGGGAACGUCAAGAAGGAUGCACUAGGGAGGGGGUCGCCAUCAAUCAGGAGAAGGUGCCAGUGAGGUGGGGAAAAAUUAGGAAGGAGAAGAACGAGAGGGGAUUCGCAGGA